rnacentral:rRNA from 1 species
AUUGAACGCUGGCGGCAGGCUUAACACAUGCAAGUCGAGCGGGGUGAUGGUGCUUGCACUAUCACUUAGCGGCGGACGGGUGAGUAAUGCUUAGGAAUCUGCCUAUUAGUGGGGGACAACAUUUCGAAAGGAAUGCUAAUACCGCAUACGUCCUACGGGAGAAAGCAGGGGAUCUUCGGACCUUGCGCUAAUAGAUGAGCCUAAGUCGGAUUAGCUAGUUGGUGGGGUAAAGGCCUACCAAGGCGACGAUCUGUAGCGGGUCUGAGAGGAUGAUCCGCCACACUGGGACUGAGACACGGCCCAGACUCCUACGGGAGGCAGCAGUGGGGAAUAUUGGACAAUGGGCGCAAGCCUGAUCCAGCCAUGCCGCGUGUGUGAAGAAGGCCUUAUGGUUGUAAAGCACUUUAAGCGAGGAGGAGGCUACUUUAGUUAAUACCUAGAGAUAGUGGACGUUACUCGCAGAAUAAGCACCGGCUAACUCUGUGCCAGCAGCCGCGGUAAUACAGAGGGUGCAAGCGUUAAUCGGAUUUACUGGGCGUAAAGCGCGCGUAGGCGGCUAAUUAAGUCAAAUGUGAAAUCCCCGAGCUUAACUUGGGAAUUGCAUUCGAUACUGGUUAGCUAGAGUGUGGGAGAGGAUGGUAGAAUUCCAGGUGUAGCGGUGAAAUGCGUAGAGAUCUGGAGGAAUACCGAUGGCGAAGGCAGCCAUCUGGCCUAACACUGACGCUGAGGUGCGAAAGCAUGGGGAGCAAACAGGAUUAGAUACCCUGGUAGUCCAUGCCGUAAACGAUGUCUACUAGCCGUUGGGGCCUUUGAGGCUUUAGUGGCGCAGCUAACGCGAUAAGUAGACCGCCUGGGGAGUACGGUCGCAAGACUAAAACUCAAAUGAAUUGACGGGGGCCCGCACAAGCGGUGGAGCAUGUGGUUUAAUUCGAUGCAACGCGAAGAACCUUACCUGGCCUUGACAUAGUAAGAACUUUCCAGAGAUGGAUUGGUGCCUUCGGGAACUUACAUACAGGUGCUGCAUGGCUGUCGUCAGCUCGUGUCGUGAGAUGUUGGGUUAAGUCCCGCAACGAGCGCAACCCUUUUCCUUAUUUGCCAGCGAGUAAUGUCGGGAACUUUAAGGAUACUGCCAGUGACAAACUGGAGGAAGGCGGGGACGACGUCAAGUCAUCAUGGCCCUUACGGCCAGGGCUACACACGUGCUACAAUGGUCGGUACAAAGGGUUGCUACCUAGCGAUAGGAUGCUAAUCUCAAAAAGCCGAUCGUAGUCCGGAUUGGAGUCUGCAACUCGACUCAAUGAAGUCGGAAUCGCUAGUAAUCGCGGAUCAGAAUGCCGCGGUGAAUACGUUCCCGGGCCU